UAAUAUCUGGAAGUAGUACUUUACUGAGAGGGUAGUGGAUGCAUGGAAUAGCCUUCCAGCUGAAGUGGUAGAGGUUAACACAGUAAAGGAGUUUAAGCAUGCGUGGGAUAGGCAUAAGGCUAUCCUAACUAUAAGAUAAGGCCAGGGACUAAUGAAAGUAUUUUUAAAAAAUGGGCAGACUAGAUGGGCUGAAUGGUUCUUAUCUA
rnacentral:lncRNA from 1 species